UACGUAGGUUUCCCUCUUUUUCCUUAAUUCUUUGGCGUAAAGCGCGCGCAGGCGGUUCCUUAAGUCUGAUGUGAAAGCCCGCGGCUCAACCGUGGAGGGUCAUUGGAAACUGGGGGACUUGAGUGCAGAAGAGGAGAGCGGAAUUCCACGUGUAGCGGUGAAAUGCGUAGAGAUGUGGAGGAACACCAGUGGCGAAGGCGGCUCUCUGGUCUAUAACUGACGCUGAGGCGCGAAAGCGUGGGGAGCAAACAGG
rnacentral:rRNA from 1 species